rnacentral:lncRNA from 1 species
CUAAGAUUAAGUCAUAAAAGACUAUUUAUAGCUUCUACCUUACUGCUUCUUGGAUCAUCCACUCUGGGGGAAGCCAGCUGCCAUGUCGUGAGGAUUCCCAAGCAGCCUCAUGGAAGUUCAUGUAAAGCCUCCUGCCAACAGCCAGCAAGGGACUGAAGAGUCCUGCUCACCGCUUUAGGAGAGCUAUCUCGGAAAUGGAUCCUCUGGUUCCAGCCAAAGGCAUCUUGCCCUAAGCUUCAAGUACGGGUCAUUUUCUUCCAUCAAAUCUCAACUCACCUUGCUCCGUGGAAUUUGAUGGUUCUUUACCUCAGCGAUCUCUUUUCCUUGCUCUUCGGAAAGCACAGAACUUACAUUAAACUCAAAGAAGUCUGUAUACCACCUACCUAUGCUAACCAAUCUAAUCACAAUUCAGAAACGUGAACAAACAACUAAGUAUCACUAGAGAGGACUUCGGGACCUCCUCAAGCUGAAAAAGAAAUUCCAGCAUGAGCAAACAUGAUAACACAUUCUAAAUCAAAAGAUAUCAUUUGGAGGAUAAAACAAUAAAAUUUCAAAGAAAUUC